AAUUCUCAACCUUUUCAGCAUUUAUGUUGAUAAGGCUUGGACUGUGGGAGUAUUUGCGGGCUUCUCAGAAGUCGGCUCUCCUUAAAUACAUUAGCGGGACCUUUGUUGCCCAGCAUUAGUGUGAUAAUUAUCUACGCUAUUGUUGAAAGCAGCUUUUAAUGGGGUACAGCUUCUAACUGUCUCUUUUUGAGACAACUUUUGACA
rnacentral:misc_RNA from 1 species